AUUGAACGCUGGCGGCAUGCCUUACACAUGCAAGUCGAACGGUAACAGGUUAAGCUGACGAGUGGCGAACGGGUGAGUAAUGUAUCGGAACGUGCCCAGUCGUGGGGGAUAACUACUCGAAAGAGUGGCUAAUACCGCAUACGACCUGAGGGUGAAAGCGGGGGACCGUAAGGCCUCGCGCGAUUGGAGCGGCCGAUAUCAGAUUAGCUAGUUGGUGGGGUAAAAGCCCACCAAGGCGACGAUCUGUAGCUGGUCUGAGAGGACGACCAGCCACACUGGGACUGAGACACGGCCCAGACUCCUACGGGAGGCAGCAGUGGGGAAUUUUGGACAAUGGACGCAAGUCUGAUUCAGCCAUGCCGCGUGCGGGAAGAAGGCCUUCGGGUUGUAAACCGCUUUUGUCAGGGAAGAAACGAGUUUCUCUAAUACAGAGACUUAAUGACGGUACCUGAAGAAUAAGCACCGGCUAACUACGUGCCAGCCGCCGCAGUAAUAC
rnacentral:rRNA from 1 species